rnacentral:lncRNA from 1 species
GUGUCCCCCAACAUUUCCACCAAAACACCCUCCGCAUGUAAAGCCACCUUUCCACCCCAAACCACCGCAUCACAAGCCACCCCAUGUCAAACCACCGCACAAGCCCCCGUAUGUUCCUAAACCACCUUACACACCAAGGCCUAAACCGCCUUACACGCCAAAACCACCUUAUACGCCAACCCCUAAGCCACCAUAUUUCCCCAAACCACCUUACACACCAAGGCCUAAGCCACCGUAUGCGCCAAAACCACCUUAUACGCCAACCCCUAAGCCACCCUAUUUCCCCAAACCACCUUACACACCAAGUCCCAAAACCACCUUACACCCCAACUCCUAAGCCACCGUAUGUCCCUAAACCACCGUAUGUACCAUCACCACCUUAUACCCCUCGCCCUAGACCACCGUAUGUACCAUCGCCACCUUAUACCCCUAGUCCUAAACCACCGUAUGUGCCAUCACCACCUUAUACCCCCAGCCCUACCCCACCAUAUGUACCAUCACCACCGUAUACCCCAAGCCCUACCCCGCCAUAUGUACCAUCACCACCGUAUACCCCAAGCCCUAGCCCACCACCACCACCAAGUGGAACACCGUGUCCUCCGCCGCCGCCACCAACUUGUCCCAUUGAUACUCUCAAGCUUGGUGCAUGCGUCGACGUGUUGGGUGGU